CGCGCCCUCAGAGCUCAGAAGAGGAUGCGAAUUCGUGUGGGGUACUUCCUGUGACGGCGCGAGUGUGCCAUGGGACUCUUCCCGGAAUGCACGUAUGGCUUUGUCGGGUGAAUUUAGUGCUGGAAGUGAGGGUAUCGUGUAUGGUGGUUUGAAUAGGUAUGGCCUCAAUUGAAUGCUUGGUCCAUAGGAGUGGUACUAUUAGGAGGAAUGGCCUUGUUGAAUGCUGUUUGGCUUGCUGUCCCGAUUCCUCACUCGACUCGGUGUGCUAAUUCACCCCCCUCAUCUGUUCUCGGGUACACUCUGUUUACGAUCGAUCCACGAGGCGUUGCCACAUAAGGGUUGGUCACCCAGGAAAUGGGAUCAAGAAUUGACCCUCUGACCAGUCUUUUCUCUCUUGGAGACACAGUGUGAGUAUAGGGCCUAGGCCUAACUACCAGAAGUCCCUCACAAAGCAUUCUCAUUCGGCUCCACACACACAAUCUUUUCUACGCCCCUGAUUCCACGAGGAUCCCCCACAACUCUGAGUCCACUGGUGUCUUUUGCCCAGGGCAACUCUCUGGGAUUGACUGAAAGGCUCUUUGUUCCCUGGGAGGGUCCCAACAGCCCUGAAGGGUGUAGAUGGUAGCCUUUUGUUUACCCUUCUCUCUUUUGCAAAUCAGUUAUGUGACUACCAGUUAAAAGCCAAUAGGGCAGUGCCCGAUUUCUUAAAUUCACGGUCAUGAUUCUCCAGUCACUGCAAAUCAAAUGUGGUGAAUUAUUGGCUUCUUUAGUUUGUCUCUCCCCUGCCUAUAGUUCCUUUGUUAUGGGAAACUUUCCAACUGAAGUCCCUUAAAGCUCUGCUUCUGACUAGGGAAAUUAGAGUUAAAACUUCCCAUCUAGAAAAAUUUUAGAAUGAGGCUUCUGUUAUCACACCCUGGAUAUCACCUGAAAACAUUUGGGACCUAUCAUUAUGGAUGAGGGACCUUUUGUAAACUAGGAAACAGGAAGUGCAGGAAGGGAAAUCACCCCACACAGCCUUUGUCCCAAUUCUUUUGGGAAUCAUAGCAUGUAUAAAAUUGGGCACUACAGAGGAGGUACUCCGGUCCUUUAAUGACCAUUGUGUGGAACAAAAAUGUUCCUCACUUUCCCUCAUCUCUCUACUGCCUUAUGAGGAACAUACCUCAGAUGGGGAAGAGGACACUUCAUAGACAGAUCCACCUCCCCCCAAGAAAACACCCAGGAAAUCUGUCCUUAAGGAUGAUAAACCGUGAUGUACUAUUUAUCCCUGGGGAGUCUUACAGGAUACCUCCCCACUCUCUGCUUCCCAUUGCCCCUCAGGGAUAACUGAGACCACCACACCUCAGCUUAAAUUCUCUGGUUAUCACCCAACAAAUCCUUUUGCAUUUCCAGUUAAUGUUGGCACCAACACAGUGGUUCAGCCAUGGGUUCCUACCCCUCUAGCUGAUCUUUCCUUGAUCCAUAAAGCUGCCAAUGAGUCAGGCCCCAACUCCCCGUAUUUUGAGCAAGUACUGCAACAGUGGGAAAUGCAAUUUCAAAUCUGUUAUGGCUGCUAUUGUUUGAUGAAAGCAGUGCUUGAACCCACCACUUUUCGUAACUAGUGGGUAGCCUAUAAUAAUCAAGCUGAAGUACAGACGUGCCUCAAUAUACAAUAUAAUGUUGUUAUUUCCCUAGAGAUGCUGACUGGCUGGGGCCAAUGUUAAUCUUGUGACUCAAGCCCAAAUUGGCCUGCAUGCCUAUUUUCAGCAGGUUUCUGAACUUGCAUUUAAAGCCUUGAAAUCCUAUACUCCACGGGAUCUGACUGCCUACUUCCAUAAUCUGAUACAACAGCCUGGGGAAUUGUUUACUGACUUCAUGGCCCAAGUCAAUGAGGCAGUGGAGAAACAGGUGGAUCCUGACCCGACCAGGGAGAUGCUCAUUAAACAAUGUGAGGAAGGCUUAAUGCCCUUACCUGCCAUGCAGUUGUGGUGGUGCAUAAUGAGGACAUUCAUAAAUGGGUGAUUGCUACUCAUGAUCUCAACCCUCAGGCAGGACCCAUAGCAACCCUUACUGCCUCUGUCAACCCACUAUUUGCUUCCAAAGAUAAUGGUUGUGGACCCACCUAACCAUUCUUGUUGGGGCUGUGGUCAGUCAUGUCCCCUUUGUAGAGAUUGCCCUAAAACCUUACCCAAGACCAAAUGCCCCAAUUGCCAAAAAGAAUUUCAUUGGGCAUGUGAUUGUAGAAGCUCUCCCCAGUUGCCUUUAAUCUUAAAGAGGGGCACCCCUCAGCCUGGCAAAUAAGAGGGGACCCCCUAUAGCCAAAGGUUUUCUGGACCCUCCCUAUAUUUCAUCAUUCUCCCAUGAUGACUAUUUAUCUGGAUGGCAGACCCACCAAGGGUUUGGUAGAAACUGGGGCAGAAGCCUCUGUAAUAUAUCUUAAUGAUGGCCAGGCCUUCCCACAUUGGAAACUUAAAAAUCGCCCAACCAGUACUGGGAUAGGAGGGGAUAAGCCUUCUAAAACAACCCUUCACCCGGUUCACUGGAAGGACCUUGAUACAAUCAGGGGCGAUUCUGCCUGAAGCACUAUGUACUCUUUGGGGUCACAAUCUAUUAGAGGAAAUGGGGGCUAUGCUUACCACAAAUGAUAAGGCCAUUAUGAGGAUAUAGAAACAUAUGACAUGACAGGUCAAUCUGUUAGAAAUUCUAGCCUUCACUCCCAAUUCUAAGGGCUACUGCCCCCCCCCCCCCCAGAUAUAAAUAUUCCCAGGCCCAUACCAUUAAAUUGGACAUCACAGAAGCCUGUGUGGGUAGACCAAUGACCUAUUAUAGAACCUAAACUAUCAGCAUUGAGAGAGUUAAUUGAAGAGCAAUUGUCACUGGGCCAUACUGAACAUUCCUGCAGUAGGUUUAAUACCCCCAUUUUGUAAUUAAGAAAAAGUCAGGAAAAUUUUGCCUUCUGCAAGACUUAAGACCAAUCAAUGCACAAAUGGAAAAGAUGGCCCCCCCUUAGGCAGGGCUACUGCACUCAGGUGUUAUUCCACCAGGAUGGCAUAUUCUUGUAAUGAAUAUUAAAGAUUGCUUUUUCUCAAUGCCACUGGCUCCAGAGGACAGAGAGCACUGUGUUCACUGUCUGGGAGCCCAAUGUUCAAAAACCUGCUUCCCAUUAUUACUGGAAGGUUAUGAAAAAUAGUCCAGUCAUCUGCCAGUUGUAUGUUCAACAGACCUCAGCUAGGGUCCCCAGUGAGGUAUUAAUGAUCCACUAUAUGGAUGGCAUCCUGUUGGCGCACCUGAGGAGACAGAGACUUCAGGAGUUAUUGCCCCAGCUCCUUGAGGACUUAGGAGCCCUUUGCCUCAAGGUGGCCCCAGAAAAGAAACAAUGGCUAUCCCCAUUUGUGUUCUUGGGCUACCAAAUCAGCCAAGCCAUCCAAUCUCUCAAUGCCUCUAUAAUAAUACAAGAGUCCUACUCCCUUACAGACCUCCAGGAACUUUGUGGCACCAUUAAUUGGCUCAAACAAUUUCUCCCAACUCCUGAUGAAAACAUGAGACAAUUGUUUUCUCUCCUCAAAGGGCAUUCCUCCCCCUCUGCAAAUAUAUGAUUGACAGGGGCCAGGGAUCUCUUAAAGAGGGCUAGUGAACUUGCCUAUAAUGCCUCUCUGAGGAAACAUGAUCCAAAGGUUCCCCUCAUAGCCCUAGUCCUUUGGACUAAGGGCAGCAUACUGGGAACACUGUGGCAAUCAGGCUCCCUAAUAUGGAUACAUCUGUCACAUUCUGAGUUAUCCAGUAUCACCUUGAAGUUUGUUAUUACCUUUGAGAUAGGCAUUAAAGCAAGAGCAACUGCUAGGAUAAUCAUGGGCCAUGAACCAGAUAGGAUUGUCCUCCCCUUCCCUGUCCAAAAUACCCAACCCUUAUGAGCAGACUAUCUUCCCUUCCAAAAAAUGAUUGUAGAUUAAUUUCUAAGUGGUCUUAUUAAAUAAAAAUCUUGGAGCCAAAUAUAGGGGUGAAAGCCUUAGAAAUCAGGGAAAUAGGAAUAGCCACCAGCUAACCUUACCUCACCACACUGCAGCUUCCAAAGUGUGCUAGUUCCUGUCUACCCAUGCCUUUAAUGCCUUGCUGUUCUGCCCUCUCAUUGGCUCUUAGCCCAGCUACCUCACUUCCUUGUCACUGUCUGUCUGUACAGACCUCCAGGUCUCUAGGGUUGGUACUUGGAUUAAAGGCGUGUGUCACCAUGCUUGGCUCUGUUCCCUAGUGUGGCCUUGAACACACAGAGAACCUGCCUGCUAAGUGAUAGGAUUAAGGGCAUGUGCUACCACUGCCUGACUUUUGUGUUUACUUAAAGUGGCUUGCUAUUUCCUCUGAUCUCCAGGCAAACUUUAUUUAUUAACAUACAAAUAAAAUAUCACCACAAAUGAUGAUGGGUUUUUCAGGGACCUUGGAUAACCAAUUUCCCCAAAAUAAACAUUUGUCAGCCUUGCCACUCCUUGAGUUAACUUUAAGCCCGUAUGCUAACCCCUUGAAUGUCUAUCUUCCUCAAGUGGCUAUAGCCUUUACAGAUGCCUAUAGAACAAACUUUGGCCAAUUAAUCACAAUGCCGAAUAGCAAAGAAAUAACUCAUAUCCAACUUUACCCAGGCUUUGUCCAAAUGGGAGAACUCCUGGCCAUCCUUAAGGUACUGGAGUUGAGCUAGUCAGUACCCAUAAACAUUUUUCAGACAGCUGAUACAUGACCCAGGCAUGUAAGCUGUUGUCCUUUGCUAAACUAAAUGCUGUGGGAUGUUCUGUAUGGCAAAUGUGUUGCUAAUUAGUCAAUAAAUAAAACACUGAUUGGCCAUUGGCUAGGCAGGAAGUGUAGGCGGGACAAGGAGGAGAAUAAAGCUGAGAAGUGGAAGGCUGAAUCAGAGAGACGCUGCCAGCUGCCACGAUGAGAAACAGAAUGUGAAGAUACCGGUAAGCCACGAGCCAUGUGGCAAGGUAUAGAUUAAUGGAAAUGGAUUAAUUUAAGCUGUAAGAACAGUUAGCAAGAAGCCUGCCACGGCCAUACAGUUUGUAACCAGUAUAAGUCUCUGUGUUUACUUGGUCGGGUCUGAGUGGCUGUGGGACUGGCGGUUGACAGAGAUUUGUCCUGACUGUGGGCCAGGCAGGAAAACUCCAGCAACAAAUGGCGUCCAACAUGGUGGCAAGAGUUUCCACCUAAAACCUGAGAAAGGAUUCUAAAACGGAGCUAAAAACAGUUCCUAAUUGUGUCUCUCAAAUGAGCGGCAGCUGCUGGUUUGAGCUACUGGUGGGUUCCUAGCGUGCGUGCUCGACCUGCCUAUGGCGGGAAUGAGGCCUUUGCAAGUGGCACUUUGAGCUGCAUGGUGGAUUUAGCCUUUGCUGGUGCAGAGCAAAAGGGGAGGUUUCUGGGCUACACGCUGCUUGGCUAAAAGCAUAGACCCCCCCCCAUAGCUCCCAGAGCUGGCGGUAAACCAUGGCCAUGUUGGGAAGCUGAGGUGGGUGGAUCCAGCAGCCACAGCUGCUGCAGUUUAAGGCAAUAGAUUCACAAUAAGACAGAUUCAGAUGUAAUAGUUUACAAUGUGUGUAAAAGAUACGUAGGCUUGAAAGAGACAAAAAAAGAUGAUAUAUAGAGUUAUAGAAACAAAUACAUAGUUUUAAAAAAUAAAGUCUUUAAAGAGACAGUAAAGGUAGUAUAAAAAUAAGCCACGUAAAAAUGGAUAUUACACAGAGAAUCUGCAUUGUGUUGUCUUUGGGACUUUUAACUGCAGAAAAACAUUUGAUUGUAAAAGCUGUUGAGUUAUGCCAAAAUGUAUAUUUUAAAGGUACCUUGACUUCAAAAUUUGGAUAUAAGGAUAUGUUACUUUGGAAAGGAGACUCUGCUUUUGUUUCCACAGAAAGCCAGAGGCUAUGGAUUUGUUCAAGAUUAAGGUACAUCAGGUUUGAUCAGCCAAGACCCCCUGAAAGGUCUCCGAUGACACCAUGGCCCAGAUGAUCCAACAUCCAGAAUGGUUUGAAGGCAACUGGCUCAGACGAUACACCCUCAUGGACUAUUCCAUAAUCCUAAAAUUUUCUUUGUAUCCCCAUAAGAUACAGCGCCCCCCUCCAGCAGGAAGUAGUAAGAGAAGCUACGCCCAAAUUCCCAAAUUAUAUGUAAUUUUACUUUGUUAAGGUUAAAACCUUCCUUUUUGAAAAAAAAAAAUUGGGGAAGUGCUGUGGGAUGUUCUGUAUGGCAAAUGUGUUGCUAAUUAGUCAAUAAAUAAAACACUGAUUGGCCAUUGGCUAGGCAGGAAGUGUAGGCGGGACAAGGAGGAGAAUAAAGCUGGGAAGUGGAAGGCUGAGUCAGAGAGACGCUGCCAGCUGCCACGAUGAGAAACAGAAUGUGAAGAUACCGGUAAGCCACGAGCCAUGUGGCAAGGUAUAGAUUAAUGGAAAUGGAUUAAUUUAAGCUGUAAGAACAGUUAGCAAGAAGCCUGCCACGGCCAUACAGUUUGUAACCAGUAUAA